rnacentral:rRNA from 1 species
UGGGGAAUUUUGGACAAUGGGCGAAAGCCUGAUCCAGCAAUGCCGCGUGUGUGAAGAAGGCCUUCGGGUUGUAAAGCACUUUUGUCCGGAAAGAAAUCCUUGGCUCUAAUACAGUCGGGGGAUGACGGUACCGGAAGAAUAAGCACCGGCUAACUACGUGCCAGCAGCCGCGGUAAUACGUAGGGUGCAAGCGUUAAUCGGAAUUACUGGGCGUAAAGCGUGCGCAGGCGGUUUGCUAAGACCGAUGUGAAAUCCCCGGGCUCAACCUGGGAACUGCAUUGGUGACUGGCAGGCUAGAGUAUGGCAGAGGGGGGUAGAAUUCCACGUGUAGCAGUGAAAUGCGUAGAGAUGUGGAGGAAUACCGAUGGCGAAGGCAGCCCCCUGGGCCAAUACUGACGCUCAUGCACGAAAGCGUGGGGAGCAAACAGGAUUAGAUACCCUGGUAGUCCACGCCCUAAACGAUGUCCAACUAGUUGUUGGGGAUUCAUUUCCUUAGUAACGUAGCUAACGCGUGAAGUUGACCGCCUGGGGAGUACGGUCGCAAGAUUAAAACUCAAAUGAAUUGACGGGGUCAUAGCUGUUCCU